rnacentral:rRNA from 1 species
UACGGAGGGGACUAGCGUUGUUCGGAAUUACUGGGCGUAAAGCGCACGUAGGCGGAUUUGUAAGUCAGGGGUGAAAUCCCGGGGCUCAACCUCGGAACUGCCUUUGAUACUGCGAAUCUCGAGUCCGGAAGAGGUGAGUGGAAUUCCGUAGUGUAGAGGUGAAAUUCGUAGAUAUUAGGAAGAACACCAGUGGCGAAGGCGGCUCACUGGUCCGGUACUGACGCUGAGGUGCGAAAGCGUGGGGAGCAAACAGGG